GACGAAGGUGGCAAGCGUUGUUCGGUAUUACUGGGCUUAAAGCGUGUGUAGGCGGAUAAAUUAGCGUUUUGUGAAAUCCCUCGGCUCAACCGAGGAAUUGCUUGACGAACUGUUUAUCUUGAGGCAAGUAGGGGUGCACGGAACUCUUGGUGGAGCGGUGGAAUGCGUAGAUAUCAAGAGGAACGCCAGUGGUGAAGACGGUGCACUGGGCUUGUUCUGACGCUGAGACACGAAAGCGUGGGGAGCAAACAGG
rnacentral:rRNA from 1 species